GCCAGUGUGGUGUAGCGAUUUAAGCACUGGACUGUGAUUCUAGAGACCAGGGUUCGAAUCCUGGCUUGGCCA
rnacentral:tRNA from 1 species